UACGGGGGGGGCAAGCGUUGUUCGGAAUUACUGGGCGUAAAGGGUUUGUAGGUGGCCAACUAGGUCAGACGUGAAAUCCCUCAGCUUAACUGGGGAACUGCGUCUGAUACUGGUUGGCUUGAGUGCAGGAGAGGAAUGCGGAAUUCCAGGUGUAGCGGUGAAAUGCGUAGAUAUCUGGAGGAACACCGGUGGCGAAGGCGGCAUUCUGGACUGCAACUGACACUGAAGAACGAAAGCCAGGGGAGCAAACGGG
rnacentral:rRNA from 1 species